AUUGAACGCUGGCGGCAGGCCUAACACAUGCAAGUCGAACGAGUGGCGGACGGGUGAGUAAUGUCUGUGAAACUGCCCGAUGGAGGGGGAUAACCACUGGAAACGGUAGCUAAUACCGUAUACACUCGGCUGUGACCAAAUGGGAUUGGCUAGUAGGUGGGGUAACGGCCCACCUAGGCGACGAUCCCUAGCUGGGCUGAGAGGAUGACCAGCCACACUGGAACUGAGAACCGGUCCAGACCCCUACGGGGGGCUGCAGUGGGGAAUAUUGCACAAUGGGCGCAAGCCUGAUGCCGCCCUGCCGCGUGUAUGAAGAAGGCCUUCGGGUUGUAAAGUACUUUCAGCGAGGAGGCGUUACUCGCAGAAGAAGCACCGGCUAACUCCGUGCCAGCAGCCGCGGUAAUAC
rnacentral:rRNA from 1 species